rnacentral:rRNA from 1 species
GACGAACGCUGGCGGCGUGCCUAAUACAUGCAAGUCGAACGCAGGGGGGACGGGUGAGUAACACCUGGGUAACCUCCCAUCAGAGGGGAUAACACUUGGAAACAGGUGCUAAACCGAUACUGAUGGAUGGACCCGCGGUGCAUUAGCUAGUUGGUGAGGUAACGGCUCACCAAGGCCACGAUGCAUAGCCGACCUGAGAGGAUGAUCGGCCACACUGGAACUGAGACACGGGCCAGACUCCUACGGGAGGCAGCAGUAGGGAAUCUUCGGCAAUGGACGAAAGUCUGACCGAGCAACGCCGCGUGAGUGAAGAAGGUUUUCGGAUCGUAAAGCUCUGUUGUUAGAGAGGCGGUAUCUAACCAGAAAGCCACGGCUAACUCCGUGCCAGCAGCCGCGGUAAUAC